ensembl:lncRNA
AUAGACGAGGGUUUGUAUGGAAACGUAGCACAGGGAUCACAGUUCCGAGGGGCUUAGAGUCAGACUUCUCGUGUUUUCUGAAGGCAACCAGGGCCUGAGGAGCUAGUCUUAAUAGUGUCUUCGGAAGCCAUAACCAGAUCUAAUUAGAGCCUCCUUUUUAGUCAGCUCUUCUCAGCCUUGGCUGCACAUUAGAAUCAGCUGGGGGGGCUUAAAAACCUCCAGUGCCCAAGCUUCACCCCAGACUAAUUAAAUCAAAAUCUCUGGGGGUGGGGCUCAGACAGCAGCAGUUUUUAAAGCCCCCAGGUGAUUCCAACAUGCGGCCAAGGCUGGGAGCCACUUUUCUAAUUUGUGAAGCCAGAAGCAGCAGCAAGAAAGUUUGACUCUGGAGCCUGGGCUCUGCAUGCUAAAAUAGACCACUCCCAGCACUGGCUGCACAUCAGGCAGGAGUCGGAUUUGCCCUCCAACUGGGUCUGAUCAUCCAGUGGCCUAAAGUUUACGGGAGAAGCAAACCAAAUGACUGAAAACAGUCCAGGAGAUGUGUUUGUGUGCAUUCGCCAUAAAAAGUAAAGAAGAAAGUUUCCUCCCCAAGAACUGAACACACAGUCUGAGGUUCUGUUCUGCAGGACAGCAGGUUGCCACUGAAAUGGCAAUUGGUCAUAUAUACGUGGCUCUGAGGGCUCCUUAAGAACUUGGACUCUUCAGAAGGACGUCGGGUGAAAAGUUCACAGCACAAGUUUUCAGGUUCAUGAACAGUAGAAUCCCCUCACGACACCAAACAGUGAGGAGCAGUUGGACUGGCAGCUCACCCCGAGGCAGUAAUUUUAUGUCCCAGCCUUUAGUUUUGCUUGCUAACAACAUCAUCUAGGGGUUACGGGUUUAUACGUGGGGCGCCUACCACAGCAUGGCUGCCAAGCAGUGCCAUGUCCGCACCCGGGAUCCGAACCAGCGAACCCCGGGCCGCCGAGAAGCGGAACGUGCGAACUUAACCGCUGCGCCACCGGGCCGGCCCCAUGUGUGUUUCUUAACACCUUGUAAGACUAAAGAAACGAGAAUUUUUAGAGGUCAACAUAUGGGAAGAAAGGAAAGAUCAUUUAGAGAAUUUAUAUGGAAUCUGAAGAAGCUGAAGAAACAAAGUGGGAUUUGUGGAGGCAGAAUGCACCUAUGUUUGUUUCUGGUGAGAAGGGAGAAUGCUCAAAUAUAUGUAGAAAGUGUUCAAGAUAUAGUUUUCCCAAUUAUAAGUCUUCAUCUAAAGCAGUGAAUUGAAAAAUUCGUUCUUCUUUCCUCAGCACUGAAACCGCUCUGGGGCCGUGUUUUACUGGCUCGGAUCCCCACGUCCUAACCCGUCUGUGGAACUAUGGCCGUUUUAGAUGUGCUGAAGUGGACUGAAGAGAUCAAAUUCUACAGUACAGUUAAAUUCAUUUGGCUGUGGUAUCCAAUAACCCUCAUUUUAAUUUUUGUCUUUUGGGAAAAUAUAGAUUUGUAUUUAAUUUUAUUCUCACGUGUCUAGAGGCACCGUAAUGGAUGGAUUUUACAAUGAGAAAAUAAAAUAACGAGGCUAUAAAUAAACACAUUCGUCACUGCUGGGCAGUGAAUUCUACACAUAUAUUGCUAGAGUAAUGGCUUUGAAGGAAUAUGUUAAGCCUAGUGAAAAAUCAGAGAGUACAAUUCUACUAAAGUUAAAUUUAUUGCGCUUUUAGGCAGGCCCUCUAAACAGCUAUGAUCUAUUUGUAUUGUGUGGUGGACAGUCGUGCUGUUUUUUGUUCUUAAAUGACGAUGUGCUAUCAGUUGGCGUUUUCAUCCUGCUGCUUUAAUAUGCAUAAAUCCCAUUAUACUCUACGGCUGAUGCUUUUAAGAUGAGAUGGUAGCUUUCCUGACCCAUUGGUUGAUUUAUUUUAGCAACUGAGAAAGUAUCAAACAAUUGAAGUUGGAUCCUAUUAAUCUUUGCUUGCGUUCUAUCUUUUCUCUCUGUAGUUUUUAUUCUCAAAGCUGAGAAAGAAAGAGUGCUACCAAGUAUGCAUAUCCCAAAAAACGCUUUAAAUUGGAUGUGAAUCACAGUUUGGAAAUUGAUCGUGUUUCCUGGCACUGGGAUAAUGAAAAACUGCUUUAAAACGCAUUUAUCUGCCUUGCUUGAAAGAUCCUAUGUCAUAUUAAUAUGAAAGUUUUUGAGGUCUAAGUUUUUCUUUUUUUUGCAAUAAGUGUUUAUGUACCUGACAAAUAAUGUGCAAUGUUGCUUUGGGGAGAAGUAAACUGAUAUAUGUUCCAAUAAAUAGAUUUUAAUUUUCCAAGAAUUUAACUGGUUGAAUGUAGACCUGUCUUAUUUUUAGGUUGGAAUAUACUGACCGUAGGGAAAUGUUGCUCUAGAUGUGGUCUUUGGCCUAGGUUCCCUUUUCCCACAUUUUUUUGGAAAAUGUUUACAACAAGAAAUACAAAAAAGGGUUGAAAUUUGCACCUAAAAUCUUGUACCCCUCAUUAGACUAGAAAUUUUGGUGGGAAGCAGAUGGUGAUUUAGAUGCUGAUAUCCUAUAAAAAGCAAAAGUACCUUUCGGAUAUUUGAAAAUAAGAAAAUUAA